rnacentral:rRNA from 1 species
ACGAACCGUGCGAACGUUAUUCGGAAUCACUGGGCUUAAAGCGCGUGUAGGCGGAUGGGAACGUCGGUCGCUGAAAUCCCCCGGCUCAACCGGGGAACUGGCACCGAAACGACCCGUCUGGAGGGACGUAGGGGGACCUGGAACUUCCGGUAGAGCGGUGAAAUGCGUUGAGAUCGGAAGGAACGCCCGUGGCGAAAGCGAGGUCCUGGACGUCUACUGACGCUGAGACGCGAAAGCUAGGGUAGCGAACGGGAUUAGAUACCCCGGUAGUCCUAGCCGUAAACGAUGGGCACUGGGUAGGGGGCUCGCCGAUGGGCUCCCUGCCGAAGCGAAAGCGUGAAGUGCCCCGCCUGGGGAGUAUGGUCGCAAGGCUG